AUUGAACGCUGGCGGCAUGCUUUACACAUGCAAGUCGAACGGUAACAGGCCUUCGGGUGCUGACGAGUGGCGAACGGGUGAGUAAUGCAUCGGAACGUACCCAGAGGUGGGGGAUAACGCAGCGAAAGCUGUGCUAAUACCGCAUGUGAUCUGAGGAUGAAAGCGGGGGACCGAGCAGCAAUGUUUGGCCUCGCGCCUUUGGAGCGGCCGAUGUCGGAUUAGCUAGUUGGUGGGGUAAAGGCCUACCAAGGCGACGAUCCGUAGCUGGUCUGAGAGGACGACCAGCCACACUGGGACUGAGACACGGCCCAGACUCCUACGGGAGGCAGCAGUGGUGAAUUUUGGACAAUGGGCGCAAGCCUGAUCCAGCAAGGCCGCGUGAGGGAAGAAGGCCUUCGGGUUGUAAACCGCUUUUGGCAGGAACGAAACGGUGUCCGCUAAUACCGGGCGCUAAUGACGGUACCUGCAGAAUAAGCACCGGCUAACUACGUG
rnacentral:rRNA from 1 species